rnacentral:rRNA from 1 species
AGGACGAACGCUGGCGGCGCGCCUAAAACAUGCAAGUCGAACGAGAAACCCGGGCUUGCCCGGGUGGACAGUGGCGAACGGGUGAGUAACACGUGAGGAACCUGCCCCGAAGACCGGGACAACACCGGGAAACCGGUGCUAAUACCGGAUACCUUCACCGAAUCGCAUGGUCUGGUGAAGAAAUGGAUUCCGCUUCGGGAUGGCCUCGCGGCCUAUCAGCUUGUUGGUGAGGUAAUGGCUCACCAAGGCGACGACGGGUAGCUGGUCUGAGAGGAUGUCCAGCCACACUGGGACUGAGACACGGCCCAGACUCCUACGGGAGGCAGCAGUUAGGAAUCUUGCGCAAUGGGCAAAGCCUGACGCAGCGACGCCGCGUGCGGGAUGAAGGCCUUCGGGUUGUAAACCGCUUUCAGCAGGGACGAAAUUGACGGUACCUGCAGAGAAGCCCGGCAACUACGCGCCAGCAGCCGC